CUAACACAUGCAAGUCGAACGGUAACAGGAAGAAGCUUGCUUCUUUGCUGACGAGUGGCGGACGGGUGAGUAAUGUCUGGGAAACUGCCUGAUGGAGGGGGAUAACUACUGGAAACGGUAGCUAAUACCGCAUAACGUCGCAAGACCAAAGAGGGGGACCUUCGGGCCUCUUGCCAUCGGAUGUGCCCAGAUGGGAUUAGCUAGUAGGUGGGGUAACGGCUCACCUAGGCGACGAUCCCUAGCUGGUCUGAGAGGAUGACCAGCCACACUGGAACUGAGACACGGUCCAGACUCCUACGGGAGGCAGCAGUGGGGAAUAUUGCACAAUGGGCGCAAGCCUGAUGCAGCCAUGCCGCGUGUAUGAAGAAGGCCUUCGGGUUGUAAAGUACUUUCAGCGGGGAGGAAGGGAGUAAAGUUAAUACCUUUGCUCAUUGACGUUACCCGCAGAAGAAGCACCGGCUAACUCCGUGCCAGCAGCCGCGGUAAUACGGAGGGUGCAAGCGUUAAUCGGAAUUACUGGGCGUAAAGCGCACGCAGGCGGUUUGUUAAGUCAGAUGUGAAAUCCCCGGGCUCAACCUGGGAACUGCAUCUGAUACUGGCAAGCUUGAGUCUCGUAGAGGGGGGUAGAAUUCCAGGUGUAGCGGUGAAAUGCGUAGAGAUCUGGAGGAAUACCGGUGGCGAAGGCGGCCCCCUGGACGAAGACUGACGC
rnacentral:rRNA from 1 species